rnacentral:ncRNA from 42 species
AGGUGACCUGCGGAAGGAUCAUUA